GAUGAACGCUGGCGGCGUGCCUAAUACAUGCAAGUCGAGCGAACGGACGAGAAGCUUGCUUCUCUGAUGUUAGCGGCGGACGGGUGAGUAACACGUGGAUAACCUACCUAUAAGACUGGGAUAACUUCGGGAAACCGGAGCUAAUACCGGAUGAUAUUUUGAACCGCAUGGUUCAAAAGUGAAAGACGGUCUUGCUGUCACUUAUAGAUGGAUCCGCGCUGCAUUAGCUAGUUGGUAAGGUAACGGCUUACCAAGGCAACGAUGCAUAGCCGACCUGAGAGGGGGAUCGGCCACACUGGAACGGAGACACGGUCCAGACGCCUACGGGAGGCAGCAGUAGGGAAUCUUCCGCAAUGGGCGAAAGCCUGACGGAGCAACGCCGCGUGAGUGAUGAAGGUCUUCGGAUCGUAAAACUCUGUUAUUAGGGAAGAACAUAUGUGUAAGUAACUGUGCACAUCUUGACGGUACCUAAUCAGAAAGCCACGGCUAACUACGUG
rnacentral:rRNA from 1 species